rnacentral:rRNA from 1 species
AGAGUUUGAUCAUGGCUCAGGAUGAACGCUAGCGGCAGGCUUAAUACAUGCAAGUCGAGGGGCAGCAUGGUGUAGCAAUACACUGAUGGCGACCGGCAAACGGGUGCGGAACACGUACACAACCUUCCUUUAAGCGGGGAAUAGCCCAGAGAAAUUUGGAUUAAUACCCCAUAGUAUAUUGAAAGGGCAUCUUUUUAAUAUUAAAGAUUUAUCACUUAAAGAUGGGUGUGCGGCUGAUUAGGUAGUUGGCGGGGUAACGGCCCACCAAGCCUUCGAUCAGUAACUGGUGUGAGAGCACGACCAGUCACACGGGCACUGAGACACGGGCCCGACUCCUACGGGAGGCAGCAGUAAGGAAUAUUGGUCAAUGGACGAAAGUCUGAACCAGCCAUGCCGCGUGGAGGAUGAAGGUCCUCUGGAUUGUAAACUUCUUUUAUCUGGGAAGAAACCCACGAAUUCUUUUGUGGUUGACGGUACCAGGUGAAUAAGCACCGGCUAACUCCGUGCCAGCAGCCGCGGUAAUACGGAGGGUGCAAGCGUUAUCCGGAUUCACUGGGUUUAAAGGGUGCGUAGGUGGAUUGCCAAGUCCGUGGUGAAAUCUCUGGGCUUAACCCAGAAACUGCCGUGGAUACUGGUAGUCUUGAAUGCCGUGGAGGUAAGCGGAAUAUGUCAUGUAGCGGUGAAAUGCAUAGAUAUGACAUAGAACACCAAUAGCGAAGGCAGCUUACUACACGGUGAUUGACGCUGAGGCACGAAAGCGUGGGGAGCAAACAGGAUUAGAUACCCUAGUAGUCC